CAGCAGCCGCGGGAAUACGUAGGGUGCAAGCGUUAAUCGGAAUUACUGGGCGUAAAGCGUGCGCAGGCGGUUUUGUAAGUCUGUCGUGAAAUCCCCGGGCUCAACCUGGGAAUGGCGAUGGAGACUGCAAGGCUAGAAUCUGGCAGAGGGGGGUAGAAUUCCACGUGUAGCAGUGAAAUGCGUAGAUAUGUGGAGGAACACCGAUGGCGAAGGCAGCCCCCUGGGCUAAGAUUGACGCUGAGGUACGAAAGCAUGGGGAGCAAACAGGAUUAGAUACCCCCGUAGUCCCUGUCUCUUAUAC
rnacentral:rRNA from 1 species